AUAGGCCGUUCCAAGAUGCUGUCAAAAUUAAAUCAAUAUGGCUACCGGAAGGCAAACAUUGAAUAUUAUUCUAUCAGGUUCUUAUGGUUUUAGAUCAUUUUAGUUGUUGUACAAAGAUUAAUUUAACAUUUUCUCUGGAAGUAUUAAUUUAGAAAGAUAAUAUGCCUCAUUGGUGUUGUGUUUUGAAGUGUGAAAUGCAAAGUAAUCGUGAUAAAGUUAGCUUUUACCACUUACCAUCAGUGCUACAUUCUAAGCACAAAACUGAACCAAUUUAACUAAAUAAGUUAUAGUUAUCAUCUGAGAGACAACAACAAUGGUAAAAUGCAAUAAAAUAUAAAGAUUUUACUAGCAAAAUGGAAAUUCCCCUGUAAUCAUCUUAUAUCUGGAAAACCAGCCGACUUAACUGAUAAUAACAAUCCAGAUUGGGUUCCUUCAAUAAAUAUGGGGUAUAUAAACACAAUGAAAUGAGUUCCCCAAAAUCUAAAAUGGGAAUUAAGGUACCAAAGGAGAAUUAAAAGAAAAGGGUACCUACAAGAAAAAA
rnacentral:lncRNA from 1 species